CUCAGUUCGUUCAAGAGGAGCGUAUCGGUCUCAUGUCGCGUCUCGGACGCACGAUCGUUGCACUCGGCGACGACCACUACGACAACGGAGCGCAUCUUGCACUCGUGGGAUGCACACGCAAGUAAAACUUGUCCUCGCCAACGUCAAGCGAGGACUUUGAAGGAACUUUGGAAGACGCGAGGGAUGGACUUUGCACCGGAGAUGGACUACGACGAGAAGAAACGGGAACGAACCGCUCGACGUCGCUGCAGCAAAACAAGCGAUUAUCGCAUUUUUAUCAAGCACACGCACUUCGUCGGCUUCGAGCUGUCGUCCAUCGUUCAUCGUUACUUUGGCCCUUCAGACCUAUCCUGCGUUUUUUCCUUCAUCGACUUGGGGCUCCAUCAACGCCCAUCGCUUAGCCCGCGGCGGCGCGUUGACGAAAGCAAAAGUGAUUAGAUGAAGAUAGAGUGGAGAACGAGAGGACGUUCGUAAGGGCCACGAGAGGAAAUUGCCGGGAUGCUGCUUUGGAGUCUUUUCCGAGUAGAGCGAACUCAAUUAUUCAAGAUCUCGUUUUUAUCUUUUUUUUUCUUUAAAAAUUUUCCUUCUAUUUACUGAAUGUUAUGAAUUUUCUAGACAUUUUCAAAUGCUCAAUGUUUUCCGUUUAUUUGUUCUUAAUGAUUAAAAAUGUAUGAAAUGUAUGAACUAUCUUCCAUCAAUUAUAUUAUCAAUAGACCUUUUUAACGGAAAACAGUUUUCAAGUAUAGUUAAGAUGAUUAGAAAUUUGAUGAAAAAUUCAGUCACGACACACUAUAAUCUUGCACUGUGCUUGUCGCCAUCAUGCGGCGUGAUAUUAUUUCCAGCCGUCGCUCGCGAUCCCCCGAUUUUCGUGAAGGUGUCAGGCGUUGUUUGGCCGGCUCGGGCGAGUUGCAUUAUCACGGAGACGUGAGAGCACGCGACGUUAACUACGCAUGCGAGUAAUUAGAUACGACGAAGCGCCGGUGACAUUUUUCUCUCUUCCUCGCGCGACUCACUCAUCACCGUCGCUAUCAUCACACGUUAUCAUCAUUACGCAUGAUUAUUAUAAAGAAACGCAUGUGCGAACGCGAAGUAUCAAGAUGCGUAAAAUUGGACCUCUCAGUUUACGUCAAAUCUGGACCCUCCCGAGUAGAAUUUUGCAUCCGACGCGCGUAAUAACAUAAUAAUGAGCGUCUUUCGCUCGAUCGCUAAAAGUCGCAACGUAAAUUAGCGAACUUUCAAAUGCACACACAAUAAGUCCGCGGUCGCGACACAAUGAAGCCCGCAUCGAGGCUGAACCUCUUCGGAAUAAUGCGCGGCGCUUCUCCGCGGAAGCGGAAGCCACGGAGAAAUACAGCCGCGAAAAAGUUGCGUCCGCCUCGGUUGUUAAAGACGGCCGCGGGGCUGGUAGGCUCCUGGUGGACCCCGGUGCCGGACCUGGUGGGUAUUGUCCGGCGCUAACGAGAGGAAACCCGUGUCGAAAGAGAGGACGCGUCGCAUUCCGCGCUGCUGGCAGAUACACUUUUAUCUUUCCAAGACUUCGCUGGAUUUCUCAGUUAUCGUUAGUCUUCGGGAAAGUUCCACGGAUAUCUGGUUUUCGUUGUGUUUGCUCGACAGGAUAGAAACGCGCACCGUAAAUUGGCUUGUCCCUAAAGGCAUCAGUUCUUCUCACCGCGCGAACAAGUGUUAUAUUUCCCCGUCGUACCGCGAGCUACUUGUGUGUGAGCGCCGUGGUAUUAGCGCACUUCUUAAACUUGUUAGGAGGGCGAGAUAAAAGAAACUACGAGGGAAUAACGGUGAUUUUCUAAUUGAAUUGUCGUGACACCACCCACGGCAGGAAAUACCGACAUUAACUUGCGCAAAAACGGCAUUUAGACGCAAUGUGCGACGUGUCGUGUCACGCGUGAAUUUCGUCUCGCCGGGAAUUUGAAUCUUCACGAGUUUCCGCAAAUUGAUAAACCGCGCAAACUGCAACUCGAUUGUCAAAGAGUUUUGGAGCGUUUAGUUCGUGACGGGAACGCGCGUCUUUCCGACCUUUCGCCGAGCGAGCGCCGACAAUAUUCAUGGUAAUCCAAUUCAAAUUAAUUCUCGAUGGUGGGAGUCUCUCGUCGUCCGCGCUUACGUCUCUCCUCCCUUACCGAAGGGCGUCUCAUAUCCCGGCCGGAGAGAAGGUUUGUAACCGGAAGUGACGUGAAAUAUCGCGGUGCGACGUAAUCGGCCUGCCUUCCUCCUUCUCUCUCCCUCCCUCUCUCUCUCUCUCUCCUUCUCUCUAUCCCCCCCCUCUCUCUCUCUCUCAACUCUUCGCGCGUUCUCUUGCACUCUAUCCAUAGUCGACCUAGACUGGCGGAUCUCUUCGAGGUUUCUCUAAUUGUUACUGCGAGCCUCCGCGAUGUUAAUCACGCGGCCGGGUUGAGACAGUAAUUCAGCAUUACCGGAAGAUGUAACGCCCAUUCAGAUCCGUGGGCAAUACCGGCUUCCGCCUGCCUCUGCCUGCCUCUGCCUGCCAGCUUAUUGACUCGCGUUUAUUAGGUCCGCGCCAUCAUUCGCGCAAGUAAUCGCGAUGUAAUUGGGAGAGUAAUUUCAUGGCAGGAACUCGGCGAUGGCGUCUUCCGGCAUGGGCGCAGAGCGCGUGUGCUCUGACGUGUAUUUCGGGAAUUCUGCCAUGAACAACGAGAAGAUUAUUCUUCACGUAUCGUUCUUAUCGUUAAAAAAUUAUCGCGAAGUAAAUUAGCAUUAAUAAAUCUGCGAAACUAAGAUAACAUGCACAGACAGUUUUUUUACUAAUCACGCAUCUUUUAUUUUAUUACGAGCGAAUUAUGAUUAUUUCGUUUGUAGUUUAACGCAAAAAAAUUAUAGCAUUUUGAAGAAAUGAUUGGCACCAGACUAAAAUAAAAAUUUCGAUAAUAUGUAUUGUUUCAGAAUCGCAAUUCAGAGUCAGAAUUACAAACGAAAUUAGUUUCACCACAACCCACAAACUAACUGCUAGUUUCCGCGUGUAUUCAAAACUUAAUUUAUUAAAAGUGGGGUGCCAAGUGCAUAUGAUGAAUUGUUUAGAUUCUCGUUUUCCCAUUUCGCGCUCAGCGGAUUAGGUAGGUAAUGCAGAGCGAGCGUUUCGCAUAGCUGCGGCAUUUGUUUUGCCCAGGACGACUGGGGAUUUGUUUAACCGUUUGAGUUCAAAGAGACGAGGAGGCACGCGACCCAUAACCCACGCACGGCAAACGCGAUAGCGGCAAUCACCGCUCGCGAACGCACGCCACGAGGCGAAGCGUAAGGCGGCGGCGCGGGUAAACGCCGCUUUCCUCAUUAGAAUGCCGAACAUUCUGACGAGCGCGGGGGCCACUUCCGCAGCUUCCUAAUCCGGCGCUUCCGGGUGCGUUUUCCAGCUACGAAUAAGCGAAUGAAUCGAGCGCGCACUCGCGAGCUGACGAGCGAGCGAGCGCGAGUAUACGAUCGAAAUUCCACGCGCGUCUCCGUUUGUAGCUGCGUCCGCGGCCGGAGCGGUUAACCGAAUGGGUGAUUAGCAGCCUGGUGGUUAAAUCGCUAACUGGGCAGUUAACCGGUCGAGUCGGUUAGCCAAGCAGUUAACCGGUCGUGCCGGAGCGGUCUAUUGGCUCCGCAUUGUGUUGAAUCGUACCUCGUAUUUCGCCGACGCCAUGUAUCAAGCAGAUGGUGAAAUUAUACAUAUGUGAAAUGCGAGAUACGUAACUUGCCUCCGAAAUUAUCCCCAUAAUUUCUUUUGUCAAACUAAAGAUAUCCAAGCGCGCCGGAAUCUAUCAGAAUGAGUUGUUACAGAGAGACUAACAAUAAGUAGCUCUCGAGAGUGGUCGACGAGAGUUGUGAGGAGGGGGAGAAGCACGAUUAAAACGUUCGCGAUAAGUGGAGAAAGAUUUAUGCAGCAUCUUGACAGAAUCUCGGUAUCGGAUAACGCAAUGCAAGUGACGAGCGACGUCUGCAACGCGUAAACAAAUUCUGAGACAAAGCUGAGGCGUCGCUAUGUCUUUCAGAACCGCAAUCGAGAACCGUAAGCACGUUGUUGGCCGCGCACAAAGGCGCCGUGUGUUUGUAGAAUAGGAUCGCGCUAAUAGACGUUUUCUAUGAGAUCGAAAUGACGGAGAGACGGGAAUGCCGUUGGUGAGCGCGAAGGUGAUGCGUAGUAUGGAACGCGAGCAUAAUACGCUAAUAACACUACAAAAGGUGAUCUUUAUGAGCAAGGAAGACGCUCGCUGCACUGAUCGUGAGAGGAGAAGGCGCUAUAGUAAGUUCAACGAGCAUGAGCUAGGAAUUUCGGCGGCAGAGUACUUCCUAUCAAGUAGAAAGGAGAGGAAAUUGCGUCAUUUCUCCGUUCAAAGAAACAGCCUCUUCCAGUAUAUACUCGAGUUCCUUUCGAGAUUUAUCACAGCGACAGUAACGGGAUCUGUUAUGAGUCGGCUUACAUAAGCGUAAGAAAUAUUCGUCUCUAAAUAUAAAUAUAAAAUAUAAAUUUCUAUAAACGUGUGUUAUUUAGAUAUGCGUCUGAAUAACUGAUAUUUGCAAACAUAAGGUGGAAUGGAGAAGAAGGAGAGAGAGACGUUGCAACCGGUUAAUUUGUCAUUUCCUCUGCCUGGCAUUCCUACUCAUCUAGGUCAUUCUGCACACGAUCGCCAAACUUCCGCAGUACAGUGAGAUACAAACCUCCCUCGAGCCCAGAAUGCAGUUGCAUACAUUUUUUAUACAUUACCAACGCGAAAUAGGAACAUGAAUUUAUUAUAUGUCUGUAGAUUCAUGAAAUGAGAUUCAUGAAAUCAGAUAUUUGAUUCUAUGAAUUACUUUUUAGGAACGCAAACGGUUCCUUUAUUAGAAGAGACAAGAGCCAAAAAUAACGUCCAUAUGUGCCAGUCCCUUUAAACGCGUUUCCUACUCAUCGGACUUAAAUCCGGUCUGAGCCAGUCAAUUAAUUGUACGGUCACGUACUGAGUAACGUGACAACUGGCCGUCGAUUUGUAACUUUGUAUCGUGCGAGCACGAUGCAUUUGCAGUGCAUCUGCAUUCGCAGAAUUAAACUCAAUAAAAUAGCAUCAAGAUAAUUCUGUCUAACUUUCAGAAAUAUAUUCACAAAAUCUGUCUGUAUUAAAGAUCGAUACAACAGAAUAGUAUAUUGCAUAAAAUUAAGUAACGUGACAUUAUCAUUCUCGCAUCUUAUUAUUUUCUUAACAAUCUUACUAGACUUGCAUCUAUUGUAUAUAUUUACAUAUUUAUUUAUUUUGUUUAUUUUUAAUUCUAUCUUUAGAGCUUCUGUUUAUUUUACUGCCAAUAGCUUUUUUCAUCACUUACACAAACAAAAAGUCACAAGAUUACUGUCAGUCGUGAAGCCCGCGAGCCUACCUUCUGAUCCGAUCCCGAACCGGAAACCAGCCGGCAACGAGAGCACAGUCUACAUUAGGUAGGGACUACAAUCGGGCAGCCAGCGGGGGCUAAUCCGGCAGAGAGGCAUUUUCAUCCCGGGGUUUCGGAACUUGCCGGCGGAUUCCGUCCAUACCCCGCGAAGAGAGAGAGAGAGCAAGAGAGAGAGAAAGAGAGAGCGAGAGAGAGAAUGGCGAGAGGGACAGAGAGAAAGAGGAAGAGAGAGAACCUUCCCUUUGGCCGGGAACUUUGUUGCGAACUGGAACCGCGCGCUGCUGCUCGUCGAAACCGGGGGAACUAAUCGCUAUUUCAGCGAUGCACCGGCCCCUGUGCAUCGCGGCAUUACUCGAAUGCUCUUAUUUUCGUGUGGCGGCUCGUAUUUCGCAAUGGGGCACACCGUUGUUCGUGCUUACGAGCUGCGCUGCGUCGCGCGAUGCCCGAAAUCCUAGAAUCGCCGCUCAUAAUUUCAGCCACGAAUUAGUGUCUCGCGAGUACAUAUCGAAAGUGAAAUUGCCAAAGUUGUGCGACCCUGGUGGUUUCGUUUCGUGGACAAAUACGUGAUCCAGGAUGAAAUCGCGUCAACCGUGGCCGCGAAUAUCAAUCCUCGGAUAUUUUAACGCGAGCGAGCAGAAGGAAAUUGGAUACAAGAAAUUUUUGAAAAAACAGCUCGUGUAUGGUCCAACAUUUAUUAUCGUUAAUAAUGAAAUUGACGGACGAUUCAAAUGAAACAAUUGAAAGUAUAUCCCGAGUAACUAUGUGCCACUUUUGAAAGCUGCUUGCCCUUAUUUUGUAGUACAUGUUUAAUUCUCAGCAUUAAAAAGUUAUCUGCAAAAAACGAGCUUGCGAUAGGGACGAUUUAAGACUUGAAUCCGUACACAAAUGGCAGGAUUUGCCAGAUCAGCUCUCUCCAGACUAACUCCAUAGCAAAAGAGGGCCAGGCCAGACGAGAUCGCGCCGCUAAGUGCUAUUUCAACGAUUUGCUAUGCAGCUGCAGCCAGCGCAUUAUCCGGAUGCUAUUAUUCCGUCGCAUGAUACAUUAUGUAAUAAUCGUCGAUCGCAGGCGAUCACAUCGAGCGAUGUAUUAUCUCUUGCAUCAAUUUUCGAAUUAUCAAUUUUUGGCGCAGGGGAAAAGCGGAGAGCAUUGCGUGUGUAAUUUUAUGCGCGAGCAAUAAGCGCGUUUAACAACGAAUACAAAUUAAGGAUUGGUUUUGUCAGGACGAGAGGCAAUCACGCGCGAUAUUGUGACGUAUUCGUUUUUCAAUCGGUGGUGUAUCACUCAAGCAUCAAUCGAUCGCCCACCGUAAAUACCGACUGAUAUCUGUCUCCCUGGUAUCCCAAUAAAUGAAUAAUAAAGGCACGCGUGGCCUUGUGUGGGAAUUAUAAUCGUGUCCGCCACUGCAUCGUGAUCAGCUUAUUGAAUAUUCCGUUUGCAGUCGGCCCGCCGAGAUGAAACGUAGCGCUUGCAUUUAUGCAGGAUACAUAAAAAAAAGAGAGAAAUCCCCUGCUCUCUACCCUAUCGAAAAUGCGUGGAACCUUUUAAUACGCAUCGCUAAAUUCCUCGCAAGCAGUUUUGUUAUCUGCCGCGCGCAUCUCGUAUAUAUGUUUCCGCGCAUUUGAGCGCGAUAUUAUAAUUGGCGAUAAUACAAUUGGCACAUGGAAGUGCUAAAUAUACGUAUACGGGUCAACGGAUCCUUAAGUGCCGAAAACGCACGGUCCUUGACACGGUACGGAAUUAUCGUGAGUUUUGUCAUUGACCGACAUUGAUGAACCUUUCAUUGAGCCCGCAUUCAAUGUAAUAGAAAUGAGAGAAAAGGAAUGGGAAAGAUCGUACGGUUGCACGUAGAGCUGUUUCAAGGCGAGUCUGGUCGAAAUCUGCCUACUUGAAAAAAAGGUUCCACUUCUCUCUCUCUUUCUCUCUCUCUCUCUUCCUCUCUCUUGCUCUCGCUCUUCAGUGUCAUCCCUUUCUGUCUCUUGCUCCGACCUAGAGCUCGGUACACGCGUGUUCAUGCGCACGCGGUAUAUGCGCGGGACUCUAAAAAAGGUAGCCGGAGCCAUUCGAUGGCAGCUGUUCCACAUUUGAAGGAUGGAUAUUCUUCGGGCUUUGUCGCAACGACAAAAGAACUUCUCUCACAAAAGGCCGACGUGGCCCAAGCUUUGCUCCCUAGCUCUCUUCCUGUGCCUCUCCUCUACUCUGCAUCCUCCCCCUUGCCGAACAAGACAGAGAGAAAGAGAGAGAGGAGAGGUACAAGUAUUCAGAGAAGAGGUACAAGUAAGUAGGCCCAAGUUCUAUAUUCGAGAGAACAAUCCUUACUUCCCCGUUCUAUCGCUUCGAAAUAUCUCUUUCCCUUUUCCUUCCUGUGAUAUCUUUGCUGCGACGCCCUGGAACACCCACGUGAAUGUGUGAUCAUUGAUACGAAACUUCCUACAAAAUAUGACAAUGCUUCCGACUAAAUUGAUAGACUUGCCGUGAUUCUGCUGUUACGCCAAAAACUUUAACGAACCUUUUAUUUCCUAUAAUUAUUUCACGCUGUCAGUCUUCGCGGGAGAAUUCGAAGGAAGGAUAUUUUAUUGUUAAUUCUACAAAUAGUAUUGUAAGUUAGAAAAACUGAAGGGAGAUUUAAAAAUUGGAAAUUUAAGACGAGGAUUUGAGGGAAGACGGUUUAUAUGCUGCGAGCUUUAUUAUGAUUUUCCGAGAAAUAUGUAGAAUAGAAAUUCCGCAACCUCUCAGUUACUUUCGAACGUGUGCGAAUCGUAUGUGUUAUUUGUUUUAGCAGAUAAAUAAUAAAAGUGAACGAGAGAGCAGAGAUAACCAGUAACAGACGUGGAAUUAUAUACAAACAACGAGAAAACGGCUGCAACGGCCAUUGCACCGCGCAUCGCAAAACAUCUAUUGCAAACGAAUGAAAAAGAAAACCGUAUUUGUCAAAAGGGUUCUCUCAUUUUCGGACAUUACUCUUCCAAAUUCCGUUCCAUAUUCCGUUUUUGCGUGCCAAAGAAAUAAUUCCUCUUAUAUUAUAAAUCAUGUGUACACAAGAAUCUUUCCUUACUGUGAGGUUCUGCCUUCAUAAAGGCCCCACGUGUCGCGAUACUUCGUGGAAACCACAAAAAAUGAAAUAAGGAUGAAGCAGGUGCACCAUGAAAUUUAUUACGCGAAUUCGAUGGGAAAGCGAUUUUCUGCCGAGAUGACUGAACCACCAGUCCGUUUCGGGACGAGUUCGUCAAAGAGGGCGGCGAGGGGGACGGCGAAUCAGCUCUACUCCGGUGACUAAUGGGUUUGCUACGAGCUCCGUUCAUUCGACCCCGUUUGACCCCGCGCCCGCGAAGUUACGGGGCGCGUACAAACAUUUAGGAAGCGACGAGGAACGUGAGGGACCCCCGUGCAGCGAAACGAGAGAGGAGAGACGUCCCACGCACUCGACUGACUCAUGCUAAUAAUUAAGUUCAUCGGCCGGAAUUUCGAGAAAGAGAUUCCUGCCACCACAAAGGUCAUCUUCAGCACGCGUCGUGAUCAAAGCGAUGUUUUAUGAGACGAGCUUUGCCGCUCGCAAAGCCACGAUAGUGCCUCGGAGAAAGGCCUGUAUAGAUCUCUCAUCGGAUCUCUGUUGGAUUGUCCGUGGCUCCCGAAAUAGCGUAUUCAAAUUAACGGUAGAACUGAAUACAUCGCAAUGGUUCUCACCGUUAACAUUCAAUUAUUCAGUUCUGCUGCAAAUGUCACUAGAAGUGCAGCUUAUUAACUCUUGUCUUAAGAUACAUGUAAAUGACAGAAUUUGUUUCGAUCAAAGAAGAAUUAAAACGUGAUAAAAAUUCAGAUCUGAAUUGUCUUUAUAAUUAGUGUAAUUUAAUACUUGGAAACUAGAUAGAACAACCAGAGCGAAGACCAUUCAAAACUCGCGCGUACCAUAAAUUUCAGGUUUUUCCUAGGAAAGCCGAGUUCUGAUGCGUGCAAGAUAAUAAUAUCCGAUUGAACGACUAAAAAUCGAUUCACAGACAGCUGCGAUAGUUUCGUAAAUAAGUUUCGGGCGUCCGAACAAAGCAGAGGGCUGGACCCAAAUUUAUUUUAUCCUCCCCCGCGAUCGUACAUCAAACAGGUAAUUGCGGGUUGCACGACAUGCGAUAUAGAGAUAUCAUACACAAGAAAAAACAAGCCUACUGUCGCGGGUAAACCGGUAAAGGCGACAGUCGUUGGCACAUUUAAUAUCAUAUACAAUGAUUGGCACUUGCAAUUUUUUAGGUUAGAAUUGCAGAAAUUUUCAAAAAUAUAUUAAAUACAUAAUUAGUAGAAUCCAUAUUAAUAUCAAAAACAGUUUCUUAUCAGUUAUGAGUAUAGUAUAGUUAUUAGUAUAGUGCCAAUGACUGUAGCACUGCCAACGAAUGUCGCCUUUACCUAUUAGAUAGCUUGAAAUGUUGCAAUGCGCCCCAAGUUUCCUGCCUGUAUUUCAAUUUAAUAGAAUUUCUUUGUUUCUUUACUAAUCUCCGUAUCAUAAACUCAACAUUAAAUUACUCUACAUAAUUAAGUUGAUUAAUUUAAAUUUCAUAUUUUUAUUUCGUUCUUAUUUAAUCGAUCCAACACAAAAGAUCGCAUACCUAGAGAAAGCUUUGCUCUUCUUUGUUCGUCUGAUUCUUCCUCUCCCCCUCUCUCUUUCUUAUAACUGCCGAUUAGCACACGAUCAAAUUUGGAGGCUGUCCGCUCCGCAAGAUGAACAUGCGCCAAGAAGAGCACGUCCGCGUAUAACGCUCAGAUCUCCGCGUUUCGUUCGUUUUCGUUCUCGUCCGUCGCCGACCGCGUUCGGGCGGCUCCGAUGCCCGAAGAGCGUCAUGAAAACCGAGCCGCAGCUCCAUUCAGUUGCACUCAGCCCGUGCAUCCGUUCGUUUCUUAUCGCGUGACGGGGAUCAUUCUUUCUCUUUCUCUCUUCCAUCGCCGAGAUAAACCGUGAUAUAAGUAUCUACGUGACGACAGAUAAGCCGUGACGCCAGCGUCUCGCGAUCGAAUACGCGAGUGCCCGGCUCUGCGAGCGGAUCGCCCGGACUAUCUGCCGAAUUUCUGGGCGUGCACGGGUGUAGCCGGUGAGUGAUAUUACUGCGCAUUAAUUAGCAGAGAGCAAAGAACACGCUGAUAUAAUAUUAUUUAUAACAAGGAAACGCGCGCUCGACUCUGCGUGAAUUUCCCUCUCGACGGUCGCGUUUCGCAGGUUUCACUGUACUGACACCGUAAAAGACAAUUAGUUCGAAAAUAAUAUCUGUAAAUAAAUUGAUAAAUAAUCUGUUUGAAUAAAUACUUUCGUGAAACUUGACGUUACCAACAAAUUACGUCUUCUUUUCCAAAUUCGCGCGAGCCGAACUGGCGGGAGGAAUUUUGCGAGGUCUGCGUAUAAUUCGGUUUCGCAUUCGCAGUUUAGACUGAGAAUACUGAAUCGGAGGCCGGACUUGGAGUGAGUAAAGAGGGCACGGUGACAGGGACGUUUUUUUCUAUACGACUUGCACGGCCCUGGUGCGCUCCGGUUCUCAUGAAGUGUUCCCCACGUGGUGCUUAGCCUCUCCUCCUCUUCCUCCUCCUCCUCCUCACCAGUCCCCCUGCUCUCGUCUGCUCGUCCAUCCGUUCGUCCAUGUGUUACGACGAUUCAGGCCGCGAUGACCUAACCAGACUGUCAAUUAAAAUGCCACCAUAUGCCACUUAAACCGCUCUAAAUUUCAACCAUUAAGUCCCUAUACGUCUGCCCUGGCCCUAUUCGCGAUGUACCGAGGGAGGCUGGGAGGGAAAGGAGAAAGCGGGGGGUGGAGAAGGAGGAAGAUACAAAUUGCGUAAUCGCGGAAGCGUCUCUUCACUCUUUGUCAAGAUAAUCGCGCAGCAGGCUUAUCGUUUAUUGUCGAUAAGAAAAAUCGACAGUGUCGCGCGUUCAAGUUGUUACUUGCUGAGUAUCUUUAUCGAGAGUAAGUCACGCUGCUCGGGUUCAUCGUUCUCCAAUGGCUGUCACCAACGGCCAAUAGCUAUGACGGAGUUGGAGCGGUCGUUAGAUCGAGAUUACUUACCAGACGUUAUCUAAUGUAAAGUGAUAUUAAUUGACGUGCGCGUGCUAUACGAUGUGCACGGUAUUAUCUCGAUUGAAGGGAACUCGCGUGCACUCUCCGAGAUGCUUGUGCGAGAUGUCAUGCCUGAAUCAAAAGAUGGACUCAUCUUCUUUUGCCAUAGUACGCUUUUAAAAGCGAAAAAAAAAUUCUCGUGUUUCCGGAUGUGACUUUCAUCAAGCUUCCAUUUUAGAAUCCGGCGAUUCAUUAAAGUCCUAUCAACAGCCCUAAUUACAUUAUCGAUUCCUUCUGCUGGCUGCUACAUAUUUGCCGGUAAUUCAUCGGCCAAUAUUUGCACCAGCUCGCACGAGCUAUGCGUUUGCGGAAUCUCCCACGAAGAGUGACGCCGCGGAAAUUUAUCCGCGCUUAUCGCGUAUCACGUGCCGCGUUUCCGUCAUCCGCCGCACACUCUUAAUUCUCACACACGUCCGUCCUCCGAAACACCCGGACCCGGCCUUUUGUCGUCGAGUGCUCCCUCGGAACUUUACGAGCGCCGUGCAUGUCUGCUCGACGUCGAGAAAGAUUAUACGAAAAAAGAAGAGGGAGAGAGAGAGAGAGAGAGAGAAAGGGCAAGGGAACGUGAGACAGAAAGAGAAAGAGGGUGAGUGAAUACCUUGUGCGGUAUACACCCCUGACUCAUCCGGCUUACGUUCCUCUCUCAUGACGAGUCGAACAACGAUGAGGGAGCAAACUCGAAAUGGGGUGAUGUUGAUAGUGGUGGUAGUGACGGUAAUGGUGGAGCGAUUCAGGGGAUGUUCCGGCCGAGAUACAACCGUUACACGAAUACCCGAAUACCCGGGCACCAACGAGCCAUGCAAAGUUCCUAUCUGAUUUUCAUCUAAUUAUUUUUGACGGUCCUUUGUGCUGUCCGUUUAAUUUUAAUUCAACAAGCCAGCGUCCGUCGUUUUGCAAUUUUGUUUAUCGUGCUGCAAUUUCAAUAACCGCUAAUGAUCUAAUUAAACUUUUAUUUUUGUUAUCAAUUAGUAAUCACGUGCAAUGUGGUAACAAUGCCUCGCGUUGAGGCAGACUAAAGUCAGAUAGCAGUCCCAAUUAAAAUGCUAGAUUACAUUUACCAUUCGACUUACCAGCUUGCGAUUUGCCAAUACUUACACCCGACACACUCCAAUAACAAUUCAUCACGAACGUCUUCAUUCUUCUUCGUCCUCGAUAGGGAGGCUUCAGGAAGGCAAAAUAAAAUCCAAAGCCAUUGGUAGAACGAUAUCUUCGAAACAGGUGACUCCAUACGCUCGUUUGGUUCGCCAGCGUGCGCGUUAGUGCAUUUUCCUCAGCUUUUUCGAGGAACGGAUCGCGUCCGUAAAUCGCGCGCGUCGUUGUACACCCGGCUGCAGCCGGGAAAGAAGUCACAUUAUUCUCGCGGACGUUAUAGGGCCGUGCUCAUUAGUAAAUGAGCCCCGGGCAAUCGAGCGGCGUUGGUCUCAGGUGUUAUCUCUCCUGGCGAACGGACGAGCGGAGCGCGCGAGUUGCGCGCACCUUCGCACCCUUAAACGCGAGCGAGUAGGAGGGCGGAUGUGGGCGGUUCAUUCUCCGUGCGCGGCAUAAUGCCUUUUGUUAAUUAUUACAGCGGCCACACUUAGGGGCUUAAAAUCCGCCAUAAAUAAUCGCCGAGACAAUACCGCCUCUCUCAUCUACCCUGCCCUCUCGCCGCUUCGAGUCGCGCCACGCGGGUGUGCUACCCCUCUCGCACUACGUCUCCUCGUUUCUACAUUUUUAACCAACCGGUAAGGACAAUUUUUGUUUUAUUACCGCGAAAUGCUCCACCGUCUCGAAAUCCGCCGUCUGUUUAUCGUUCUUUUUUUAUGAUUUAAUCUCUGUCACUUGGGGGGCGGAAAAAAUAAAAGUUACAAGGAGGAAAUGUAUGGAAUUCUGAUUCUUCUCAUAAGGAUACAAAAAUAUUGAAUACACGGUGCUCUUUAUCUUCGUGUUUUUAUGUCGCUAAAAGUAGUUGCGUUUGUCCGUCUCGGUAUUACAGUAUUUGAGUUCGAUAACGAAUUCACGUGAAGAAGAAGCUUUAAUCGAGCCGUCGGCCGAUAGGGAAAACUUUGUUCACAGGCUGUCUACUCGCCAUUUUCCACCAGCCAAUUAGCAGCGACACGAUGCACCCUUGCGCAGCAAGAAACGGAAUUUAGUUCUCCUUCGCCCUCCUCGUCCUCGUUUCUACAUCGGUAUCUGCAUAACGCGCGCGACACAAUAUCGACUGCUCCCAUUGGCAUCGUUUACCUCGGAUCGAAUUUACGAUACUUCAGCAGAUCGCGGAGAAUGGUGUGUUCUUGCGAGCGGAAAGUCGACGAGGUGGCUAGUGGAGUAGAUAGAUAUAACAGCGCUGCAGGGUUGGAGGCAACGUUUCCGCCAUCGGCACCGACAAUAUCCACGAUACCGUACUUGUCGCGAGAAAAGUCUCGAUACUUCUUCCAAGAACAAAUAGAAAUUUAAUAUGUACGAUAUGUUCAGUCUUGCGUCGAGUAACGCAACAUGACGCAACGAAGAUUGAACAAUGGCCCUGAGAUUAAAUGUCGGUCUAAGCGAAAAUAGUUUAGCGGACGAAAACGAACGAAUCUUAUACACUUCCUCGUAAAAUUUUCUACUAAUCGUGUGAAUAUCUAUAAUGCAUAAAUUUUGAACGAAGUUGAGACACAAUUAAAGUCGAACGCACUUUGGUGUGUUUUUUCUUUUUUUCUCGUGCGGCACGCUACACGCGGAGUCAAAUUAAUUCCGGGACGUUAAGACAAUUUUGUUAAAUCAACGACUCAUCUCGUUCAUUUCCAGGAUAAACUAUUUUCACAGUACGAUGGUAGCGAAAAUUGAAACGCCGGUGGAUAGAAUCCGUUUUUGCUGUCUCUCCGCACCACUUCUGCCGCGGAAAGUUGGGUAGCUACUUGGGCUUCUUCACGUCAGAUAGAGAAACGUUCUCUUUCUUUUUAUCUGCCCGGUUCUUGUUCGCCGACGAGAAAACCGAGCCGGGACGAUACAUGGGCCGGCAUUACCGAAAACGCCACGGUGCACCACUGCGGAACCGUAAAUACGUGUGUCCGCAUUAUUGUUGGUAUUGAGCGCGCUUUUAUCGGACAUUGUAGCACGUUGCACUGACAGUACUGGCAUUAACGAGCCAGUGGUCUCUUCUCCCUCCCCGCCGCUAUGGCUCUUUCGAUAAUUGAUAUGAUAAUUAACCAUUUCGCUGCACCGCGAUUGUGGUGGACGCGGCCGCGUUUAAUUGAUCGUUAUAUUGAUGCGUCGUUUUAAUGGCUUCUGAGAACGCGACGCAUUAACGGGAUUGAGAGUGUCGCUCGUGUGUACGACUAAUUAUCUUAAUCCAAUCUCUGAUCAAUUUCUGCGAGCGGAAUAUCUCCCCAGUGACACACAUCUCGGAACGUGGUCCAUCCAAAAAUAGCCCCACAUUUUUUCUUUCCUAAUAAUCUAACGAGGACCUUCUGAUUGAAGAAUCGCCGAGAGUGAUCCAUCUCUGAAAACCGCUCAUGCAAUGAAACAAUGGUGGGGCACAAAAUACGAGCGAAUUGUCAGCUGCGUCGGAGUGCAUCGACGACGCGACCGGCUGCGUCGUGUACAUUAUUGGCUAGACAGGGAACGUUAUUAAUGCCACAUGUAACGCCACGUAUCUGUCGAGUUCCACGCGUUGAGAUUAUCGUGCAAACGAUAGCCGACGAAGUACCUUUUGUGCGUCCGGCGCGAUGACGGCCGGCCGAGCUUGUGUGCGCAGGAGGAUGCAUCGUUGCAUCGACGAGAGAGAGGCGUCAGCGGCGGGACUGCGGACGACAAGGGUCAGCUGAUAGCUGACAAUUAUCUUUCAGUGUAGCCCGAACAGCCGAGGCUGUGGCCGCGUGUUGCUGUAAAACAUUGGGUCUACUUUGUAGGCAGCGCCGUGUGGUCUCUACCGCCGGUUUUAUCGCGUUUUUGCAUCCGCGAGAUGUACUCGUUGAUAGAGUUAAGUAAACGGGAUCCCGCCGCGAGAGCCGUUAAAUUCGCGAUAGACACGGCUUUAUCGCGUUAUUUGCGUAAACGUCAGUACACGUCAGUGUGGAACGUUGUGCAUUACCAAGUCGGCGGUUUUCAGUCUUCGGACGUGCACGCGUGUAUUGCGAGACGCACUUGUCGUCAAGCGAAAGUGAUAAAAAUGGGAUACUCGGACUGCAUUAAAAUCCCGAGUGUUCGAGAGCGCCUCUUAAUCAUUCGGCGACUCGAUUGAGAAUUGAUUACAACUUCAAUCCAAUUUACGUUACGAUAUCGUGCUACGGAUAAUUGGCGCUUCCGCAGUUCCCGUAAAAAUUGAUGAUAUGCAAGAUCCGCGAAGGAGAGAAGCGAUUGUCGAGAUGGAAAUUGUCGCUUACCGGACGGCAACAUCAAGCACGGUAGAAAAUCCUGGACUUUCGCCUUAAAACGUUCAAGGAGCUUGCUGCAUUGGAGCCAAGGAAGCGAACGAAAUACUAAGAAAGAAGGAAAAGAGAGGAAAAGAGGGAGGAGGAAAACGUUGCUACAGGCGUCAGGAUGAAGAUAUCAGGAGAUAUUCCAGAGCGGAAUUCCAUCCUCCAAUGACAGUUUCCCGUGUUCGAAGCAAUGCGUGCCCAAAGCCCCUUAUCAUUCCCCUGUCCGGUGUAGAGUUGUUAGACGACUGGACGGAGAACUGAUAAGGGCCCGAGGGUCACAGAAUCAUCGUGGGACUGGAUACGUUACAUUCUCUUUGCCUGUGGAACAUCUGAAGCGGAAAUCUGACUAUCUGACGUGGAAAAGCGAGAUUUGCGAUUUUUGUUUGAUGAUUGAUUCAUAUUUAAACUCGAUCAAGGAACACCUUUUAUGAAUCGGAUUAACACGAUAAAGUUAAUAGAAAAAUAAUGAAAAUGAUUAAUUAUAUAAUUUCAUUAUUUAAAUAUUUAUUUUAUGUACAAUUUUAUACUCCAUAAAGCAAUCCAGAAAUUAUCUAUAUUUUCUAAUAAACGAUUUAUAUAAAAAUAUAACUCUUAAGCUAACAAGGAUAGAAUAAAUUAUAUUAUCCGAUAAAAAAUGUACAUCUGUUUUAUUGUAAACGCAAUAAAUAAUGUAAAAAAUUAAUGACUAUAUCACUUGACAUUCCUUUAUGUCAAAAUAUUAUUUCAUUGGAAGUAUAAUUUACAUUAAACUGUGGAAUAAACAAUAAAAAGUCAGUC